UACGGGGGAGCAAGCGUUGUUCGGAUUUACUGGGCGUAAAGGGCGCGUAGGCGGCCACCGCAAGUCGACUGUGAAAUCUCCGGGCUUAACCCGGAAAGGUCAGCCGAUACUGCGGGCUAGAGUGCAGAAGGGGCAACUGGAAUUCUCGGUGUAGCGGUGAAAUGCGUAGAUAUCGAGAGGAACACCUGCGGCGAAGGCGGGUUGCUGGGCUGACACUGACGCUGAUGUGCGAAAGCUAGGGGGAGCGAACGGG
rnacentral:rRNA from 1 species